CGGACGGGUGAGUAACGCGUGGAAAACCUGCCGUAUACUGGGGGAUAACACUUAGAAAUAGGUGCUAAUACCGCAUAAGCGCACAGCUUCGCAUGAAGUGGUGUGAAAAACUCUGGUGGUAUACGACGGUUCCGCGUCUGAUUAGCUUGUUGGUGGGGGUAAUGGCUCACCAAGGCGACGAUCAGUAGCCGGCCUGAGAGGGUGAACGGCCACAUUGGGACUGAGACACGGACCAGACUCCUACGGAAGGCAGCAG
rnacentral:rRNA from 1 species